rnacentral:tRNA from 1 species
GAGGGCAUAGCUCAAAUGGUAGAGUGUGUGCUUAGCAUGCACUUGGUCCUGGGUUCAAUCCCUGGUACCUCCA